UGGGGAAUAUUGCACAAUGGGCGAAAGCCUGAUGCAGCAACGCCGCGUGAGUGAUGAAGGCCUUCGGGUUGUAAAAGCUCUGUCUUUUGGGACGAUAAUGACGGUACCAAAGGAGGAAGCCACGGCUAACUACGUGCCAGCAGCCGCGGUAAUACGUAGGUGGCAAGCGUUGUCCGGAUUUUACUGGGCGUAAAGGAUGCGUAGGCGGAUUUUUAAGUGAGAUGUGAAAUACCCGGGCUUAACUUGGGUGCUGCAUUUCAAACUGGGAAUCUAGAGUGCGGGAGAGGAGAAUGGAAUUCCUAGUGUAGCGGUGAAAUGCGUAGAGAUUAGGAAGAACACCAGUGGCGAAGGCGAUUCUCUGGACCGUAACUGACGCUGAGGCAUGAAAGCGUGGGUAGCAAACAGGAUUAGAUACCCUGGUAGUCCACGCCGUAAACGAUGAGUACUAGGUGUAGGAGGUAUCGACCCCUUCUGUGCCGCAGUUAACACAAUAAGUACUCCGCCUGGGAAGUACGAUCGCAAGAUUAAAA
rnacentral:rRNA from 1 species